UACGGAGGAUCCAAGCGUUAUCCGGAUUUAUUGGGUUUAAAGGGUGCGUAGGCGGCCUAUUAAGUCAGGGGUGAAAGACGGUAGCUUAACUAUCGCAGUGCCUUUGAUACUGAUGAACUUGAAUGUACUAGAAGUAGGCGGAAUGUGACAAGUAGCGGUGAAAUGCAUAGAUAUGUCACAGAACACCGAUUGCGAAGGCAGCUUACUAUGGUAUGAUUGACGCUGAGGCACGAAAGCGUGGGGAUCAAACAGG
rnacentral:rRNA from 1 species